CCUACGGGAGGCUGCAGUGAGGAAUAUUGGUCAAUGGUCGGGAGACUGAACCAGCCAAGCCGCGUGAGGGAUGAAGGUACAGAGUAUCGUAAACCUCUUUUGUCAGGGAACAAAGGCGGGGACGUGUCCCCGGAUGAGUGUACCUGAAGAAAAAGCAUCGGCUAACUCCGUGCCAGCAGCCGCGGUAAUACGGAGGAUGCGAGGGUUAGCCGGAUUUAUUGGGGUUAAAGGGUGCGCAGGCGGACUGUUAAGUCAGCGGGAAAAGCCCGGGGCUCAACCCCGGCCCGCCGUUGAAACUGGCAGUCUCGAGUUGGAGAGAAGUAUGCGGAAUGCGCGGUGUAGCGGUGAAAUGCAUAGAUAUCGCGCAGAACUCCGAUUGCGAAGGCAGCAUGCCGGCUCCACACUGACGCUGAGGCACGAAAGCGUGGGUAUCGAACAGGAUUAGAUACCCCUGUAGUC
rnacentral:rRNA from 1 species